rfam:Medicago truncatula strain A17 chromosome 1, whole genome shotgun sequence.
GCCUGUGAUGGAGACUAUAUAUAUGGUUCUGAAAUGCCAAGUUUUUCUUGCAUUUGUUGAAAAUUUUGAACUAGGACGGUCUGAGGC